CCUACGGGAGGCUGCAGUGAGGAAUAUUGGUCAAUGGACGAGAGUCUGAACCAGCCAAGUAGCGUGAAGGAUGACUGCCCUAUGGGUUGUAAACUUCUUUUAUAUGGGAAUAAAACGUUCCACGUGUGGGAUUUUGUAUGUACCAUAUGAAUAAGGAUCGGCUAACUCCGUGCCAGCAGCCGCGGUAAUACGGAGGAUCCGAGCGUUAUCCGGAUUUAUUGGGUUUAAAGGGAGCGUAGGUGGAUUGUUAAGUCAGUUGUGAAAGUUUGCGGCUCAACCGUAAAAUUGCAGUUGAAACUGGCAGUCUUGAGUACAGUAGAGGUGGGCGGAAGUCGUGGUGUAGCGGUGAAAUGCUUAGAUAUCACGAAGAACUCCGAUUGCGAAGGCAGUUCACUGGACUGCAACUGACACUGAGGCUCGAAAGUGUGGGUAUCAAACAGGAUUAGAUACCCGGGUAGUC
rnacentral:rRNA from 1 species